UACGUAGGGGGCAAGCGUUGUCCGGAAUUAUUGGGCGUAAAGAGCGCGUAGGCGGUCCGGUAAGUCGGCUGUGAAAGUCAGGGGCUCAACCCCUGAAGCCGGCCGAUACUGUCGGACUAGAGUACAGAAGGGGCAACUGGAAUUCUCGGUGUAGCGGUGAAAUGCGUAGAUAUCGAGAGGAACACCUGCGGCGAAGGCGGGUUGCUGGGCUGAUACUGACGCUGAGGCGCGAAAGCCAGGGGAGCGAACGGG
rnacentral:rRNA from 1 species